UACGUAGGGUGCGAGCGUUAAUCGGAAUUACUGGGCGUAAAGCGUGCGCAGGCGGUUCGUUGUGUCGGUGGUGAAAUCCCCGGGCUUAACCUGGGAAUGGCCAUGGAAACUGGCGAACUGGAGUGCGGCAGAGGGGGGUGGGAAUUCCGCGUGUAGCAGUGAAAUGCGUAGAGAUGCGGAGGAACACCGAUGGCGAAGGCAGCCCCCUGGGCUAGCACUGACGCUCAGGCACGAAAGCGUGGGGAGCAAACAGG
rnacentral:rRNA from 1 species